rnacentral:rRNA from 1 species
GAUACAGGGUGACAGCCCCGUACACAAAAGCGCAUGUGCUGUGAGCUCGAUGAGUAGGGCGGGACACGUGGUAUCCUGUCUGAAUAUGGGGGGACCAUCCUCCAAGGCUAAAUACUCCUGACUGACCGAUAGUGAACCAGUACCGUGAGGGAAAGGCGAAAAGAACCCCGGCGAGGGGAGUGAAAAAGAACCUGAAACCGUGUACGUACAAGCAGUGGGAGCCCCACCACUAAGCCAGUGGUGAACUCCACAUACGCAUCCUUUGCUGAGGAUACGGUUAACGGAGCGAAAGCGACGUUCAACCGCAAAAGAAGCAGAGGGGGCUUAGUGGUGGGGUGACUGCGUACCUUUUGUAUAAUGGGUCAGCGACUUAUAUUCUGUAGCAAGGUUAACCGAAUAGGGGAGCCGGAGGGAAACCGAGUCUUAAUUGGGCGUUAAGUUGCAGGGUAUAGACCCGAAACCCGGUGAUCUAGCCAUGGGCAGGUUGAAGGUUGGGUAACACUAACUGGAGGACCGAACCGACUAAUGUUGAAAAAUUAGCGGAUGACCUGUGGCUGGGGGUGAAAGGCCAAUCAAACCGGGAGAUAGCUGGUUCUCCCCGAAAGCUAUUUAGGUAGCGCCUCGUGAAU